ACUAAAUAUAAAGCGAAUCUUAACGUCAUGACCCCGCGACCGAAUGUGUCAUUGACAUCUGACGGGCUGAAAUGAGCUUCCUAGUGAUCGAGUAUGUCAUUGAUCAAACUGGGCUUCAGGGGCUCCGUCUUGCGAUCGAGUGAGAUGCAGUGAAGUCAAGAUUGAAUGGUCCAGUGACCCUGUGAUCGAGUGCGAUCGAGUGGAUGUCAUGAGGUGGUGAUCGAGUGGUUUCUUCGGCUUCUCUUCUCUUCUUUGUUCUCAGCUUGUCUGGUUGAGUGCAGAAUGAGCAGAUAGGCUUCCUGGUGAUCGAGUGGUGAUCGAGUGGUUCCGAUGGGGUGAUUCCUCCGGCUUCGCGAUUGAGUGAAACUUAGGUGCUUGCUUCUCCGGGGUUGCGAUAGAGUGAUUUGCCCUGGCAGGGCUCCGAGGCUGCGAUAGAGUACUUUUGCUGAAGGCGUCAUUGGGCAUUCUGGCUUCAUGUUCUGUUUUUCCUCUGUUUGAACUCCAAAAGCAUCCAAAGUACCUGAAAACAACCAAAUAUGCCAUGCACAUGCAAUCGUCCUAAGUAUGUAAAACACACUAAAACGACUCCUAAUGAGAUGAAAUGUGGAUGAAACAAUGACAAAGUGGUGAAGAAUGAAUGCCUAAAUCAUGCAAAUUAUAGACAUAUCAAGUCCCUCGAACUUAGUCUUUCCUUGCCCUCAAGCAAACAAGAAGACAUAAGCGGAAAGAGAGGUUUGAAGUUGGGGAUUCAGAACCAAAGCAUGAGAUAUGACAAUUAAGAUCAAUGUACCAGCUAUCAGUUCUAAGAUGCGAGGUGAUCGACUUCUACUCAAAAACUUUAGUCAUGCUCUGUUAUGAUCUAAACCUACACUGAAAUGCACAAUGCGUCAAGAUCAACCAAUCCCUUUAACAUUCAUUAAGUUCAAAAACAUGAAUCAAGAUAUGCAUCGCUAGUGAACUCAUUUGGCUAAUGACAGGUUAUGAGACAAAGAUGGUCCCUUUUUAGUGGUUCAGAUUUUAAUAGCAGGGAACUCUCAAUGAAAAAGGACUGAGCUUUAGAAGAAUGCUAAAGGUAAGUGCCAACCUAUGCAUACAAGAAUAGCACCCCAUCUACCCAAUGACAUAAACCGUGAAUAACAAGUAGAUGGUCCUAUCUCUAAACCCAAUGAUGAUCUUAAGUCUACCCUUUUGCACUAAAGGCAUGU
rnacentral:sRNA from 1 species